rnacentral:misc_RNA from 1 species
AAGUCGUAACAAGGUAACCGUAGGUGAACCUGCGGUUGGACCAUUACUGAAUUAAAAGGUGCUUGCAUCUUUAAUCUCGAGGAAAGAGGCGUAAAACCCUCCUACUCAACACCCCAAACCUUUGCUUCUUUCGCAAGAAAGAACUUGAACCUUGUAUAAACGUCUUUGGAGUGGCUACCUAGCAAUAGGCAAGUGCUCCACUGAAUAACAAAAACAUUUAUUGACCAAUCUUUUUUUCUUAUGGAAACAUAACUAAAAACAACUUUUGACAACGGAUCUCUUGGCUCUC